AAAGUAUGAUAUGUUCCUGUUCUGGCAAAUGUUUAUUAUUAUUAUUAUUAUUAAUAAUAAUAAUAAUAAUAAAUGAAGAUUAGUCUGUGCUUUUCAGAAGAAAAAAAUAAAAGUAAAUAUUUGAAUGGAGAGAGUGUCAGAGAGGAGAGGAACCAGGCUGCUACAUCUACAGCCAUCCAUCAGAGUAAGAGCACACAGGAGCAAGUGGCCUAAAGUAAAUAUGAAGCCUGUUAGACUAGAACAGGAAGAGGAAGGGGCGGAGCUUUCAUACUGAGUCCGCAAGUGCAGUGAAGGUGAAAGUGAAAGGAGUUUAGCUUGAUGUGCCCGAGUUCCUCUGAAGCAGAAGAUCAAGAAAAAACUUUAAUAGAAGCCUCAAAGUCUGAAUCUAUAAGAAGAUAUAAAGAUGUCAACUUCAAGAGUUUCUUCAUGGGUAGGUUUAUACUAAAAUUUCCUUGUUUAUUGAUGGUAAUAAAUAAAUACAUUUUAAUAGAGAGCAGCAGAAGAUGUAGAAAGAAGUAGAAAAAUUUACACUGUAUUAUUCAACAGUUCCGGAAUGUUUUUGGGAAAUCUGAAGAGUCAGGGGUAAGUGAAUAAAACUACUAUUUUUCUCUUUUGAAUGGUAAUUUACUUAAAAUGAUUUUAUACACACCAAUCUUUUAUAUGAAAACACUCAUGUAUUCACUAUUUCACAUUCAGACAAUGUUAUUUACUUUAUUUAAACAGAUUUACAUUUAUUUUUGCAGACAUCAUUAUACAGAGCAGCUUAAAUGUAUUCAGUAAGGCAUCUGUGAUCAUCUGAAACUUGAUCUGUGUCUUCAGGACAGAUCCUGAAUGUAGAAAAAACAAUUAUGACUGUGCCUCCAUGUGGUCAAGAACUGUAAUAUCUUUAUUUUUUCCCCCUUAUAUCAUAAUUUGUGCUAACUAGCCCCCCCCCACAUAAUUAUCUGCAAUAUUCUGAAGUAAACACACAUUAACAUUUCAAAAUCAGGUG